rnacentral:rRNA from 1 species
GAUGAACGCUGGCGGCGUGCCUAAUACAUGCAAGUCGAGCGAACGGACGAGAAGCUUGCUUCUCUGAUGUUAGCGGCGGACGGGUGAGUAACACGUGGAUAACCUACCUAUAAUACUGGUAUAACUUCGGGAAACCGGAGCUAAUACCGGAUAAUAUUUUGAACCGCAUGGUUCAAAAGUGAAAUACGGUCGUGCUGUCACUUAUAGAUGGAUCCGCGCUGCAUUGGAUAGUUGGUAAGGUAACGGCUUACCAAGGCAACGAUGCAUAGCCGACCUGAGAGGGGGGUCGGCCACACUGGAACUGAGACACGGUCCAGACUCCUACGGGAGGCAGCAGUAGGGAAUCUUCCGCAAUGGGCGAGAGCCUGACGGAGCAACGCCGCGUGAGUGAUGAAGGUCUUCGGAUCGUAAAACUCUGUUAUUAGGGAAGAACAUAUGUGUAAGUAACUGUGCACAUCUUGACGGUACCUAAUCAGAAAGCCACGGCUAACUACGUG